rnacentral:lncRNA from 1 species
AUUUUUUGAUCAGUCAAAGAGAACAAAGCAAAUGAAAAUGAACAAUGACAAUUUGUUGCAGCACUCUAUUCAAUAUCGGAUUCCCCUUAUUCAAGCACCACUGUAAGCUAAGCUUUUUAGCGGGCACUGGUAUUGACUAAAUGAAAGAUAACGGCUUGAUAGUCAAGCUUGGUAGUCCGGUCAGAUGGUCCCGAGUUAGACUUUCCAAGAUAUCCUAGCUCGUAAGUAUACCCGAAACGAGAAAGAAUAGAGACUAAAACCUAGUCAGGACCUGCACUCGCCUCUACUAGGAGGGGAUUCAUGAUGGUGGAUGUCCCUUCUUUCACUUCAGAAAAGGAGGUCCUCGAAUCCACCCACAUUAUCAUUUAGCAGAGAAGCAAGCAUACUUCAAUCAAUCGCGAGAACAGCCCCUCUUAGGUAAGCAAGUAAAUUAUUAGGUAAAGGAUUUAUUUUAGUUAUGCGCUCACUAACACAACCUCAAGAUUAAGCACGGUUAGGACAUUUUCACUACAUAUUUUCAAGUAAGAGAUAUGUUAUGCCGAAUAAGCUUAGCUUAGAAAUUCUAUUUGAAAUAGAAGAGGUGUAAACAGAACUCCCAGGAAAAGAUCUAUAGUUAACCCUACUAUACUUACUAUAUAAAGCGGGUAAGAACUACGCACCCUUUAUCCUUUCCCCUCGCUCUUAACUUCUGUCUGCCCUAGCCCUUUCUUCCUGGAGGGGAACUUAAACACUAUCUUUAUAUGUCCGGGCACUCCUUAUUAGCACUACCAACA